rnacentral:lncRNA from 1 species
GAUUUUUCGAUGAUGGGUUGCUCAUGAGUACAUCCUAAGGGAAUUGGAGUUGUUUGUAAUGAAGACGACCAUAACGGUCUGCACACGAUUUGAUGUCUUUAUGCACGAGAGGAAUCUUGGGGACUGUGAGUCUCCCCUUUUGAUAUCUCAAAAGUAAUUUUAUUGUGAUGUUUAAACAUAUUUUUUAUUUUCCAAAAUUUUAAAACAUUGCUUAUCAAAGAAUACAUGAAUUUUGCAAACAAGUAGAUAAAGU